AAGGAAUUGGCGGGGCAGAUUUUUGAAGAGUUGAAAAAUGUGGGAAAGAAACAUUCUUUGAGUGCAGGCCUUUUAAUAGGUGGGCGUAAAGGUGUCGAGACAGAGAAAGAACAAGUCAAUACUCGGAACAUAUUGGUGUGCACUCCUGGCCGACUACUGCAACACAUGGAUGAGACCCACUAUUUUGAUUGUUCACAGCUCCAGGUUCUAGUGCUUGAUGAGGCGGAUCGGA
rnacentral:misc_RNA from 1 species